UACGAAGGGGGCUAGCGUUGUUCGGAAUUACUGGGCGUAAAGCGCACGUAGGCGGAUAUUUAAGUCAGGGGUGAAAUCCCAGAGCUCAACUCUGGAACUGCCUUUGAUACUGGGUAUCUUGAGUAUGGAAGAGGUAAGUGGAAUUGCGAGUGUAGAGGUGAAAUUCGUAGAUAUUCGCAGGAACACCAGUGGCGAAGGCGGCUUACUGGUCCAUAACUGACGCUGAGGUGCGAAAGCGUGGGGAGCAAACAGG
rnacentral:ncRNA from 4 species